GAUGAAGAACGCAGCGAAAUGCGAUAAGUAAUGUGAAUUGCAGAAUUCAGUGAAUCAUCGAAUCUUUGAACGCAUCUUGCGCUCCUUGGUAUUCCGAGGAGCAUGCCUGUUUGAGUGUCAUUUAACUUCUCAACCAGACAUCAGAUUAUCUUUUGAUGCUUGGCUUGGAUCUGGGGGUUGUUUGCAGGCCUUCUUGUUCAAGGAGGUCGGCUCCCCUGAAAUGUAUUAGUGGUAUCUGAGGCUAUUGCUAUUAGUUGUGAUAAUUAUCUAUGUCUUUUGGCAUGCCCCAUGAACAGAUUACACUGCUUCCAACAAAAAAAAAACAAUUUUGAUGAAUUUGACCUCAAAUCAGGUAGGACUACCCGCUGAACUUAAGCAUAUCAAUAAGCGGAGGA
rnacentral:misc_RNA from 1 species